rnacentral:rRNA from 1 species
GUGAACGCUGGCGGUGCGCCUAACACAUGCAAGUCGAGUGGGUUCAGACCCACGGCGAACGGCUGCGUAAACACGUUGGUACAUCCCCCGAACUCAGGGAUAUCCCUCCGAAAGGAGGAGUAAUACCGGAUGCCCUCGCAAGAGGAAAGAUUUAUCGGUUCGGGAGUGGCCUGCGGCCUAUCAGGUAGUUGGUAAGGGUAACGGCUUACCAAGCCUAUGACGGGUAGCUGAUCUGAGAGGAUGAUCAGCCAGAAUGGAACUGAGACAACGGUCCAUACUCCUACGGGAGGCAGCAGUGAGGAAUCUUCCGCAAUGGGCGAAAGCCUGACGGAGCGACACACCGCGUGAAGGAUGAAGCCCUUUUUUGGGUGUAAACUUCUGUUAUGAGGGACGAAAUUUUUGACGGUACCUCAUGAGAAAGCAUCGGCUAACCCUGUGCCCAGCAGCCGCGGUAAGACAGGGGAUGCAAGCGUUACUCGGAAUUACUUGGGCGUAAAGCGUCUGCGGGUGUCCUGCCACGUCUGAUGUAAAAGCACGAAGCCCAACUUCGUGUACGUGUCGGAAACGAGCGGGAUUGAGUCAAUCAGAGGCAAUCUGGAAUGUCGUGUGUAGGGGUAAAAUCCGUAGAUCCACGAUGGAACGCCAAAAGCGAAGGCAGGAUGCUGGGGUUGUACUGACACUCAGAGACGAAAGCGUGGGGAGCAAAGGGGAUUAGAUACCCCCGUAGUCCACGCCCUAAACUAUGUGAGCUCGGUGUAGGCAUUUUCAAUUGUGCCUGUGCCUUAGCUAACGCGUUAAGCUCACCGCCUGGGAAGUACGGCCCGCAAGGCUAAAAACUCAAAGGAAUAGACGGGGACCCACACAAGCGGUGGAACAUGGGGUUUAAUUCGAUGGUAAACGAAGAACCUCACCCCAGACUUGACAUCUUAGGAAUUCCGCAGAAAUGUGGAAGUGCCGCAAGGAACCUAAAAGACAGGCGAUGCACGGUCGUCGUCAGCUCGUGCCUUGAGGUGUACUGUUAAGUCAGCGAACGAGCGCAACCCUCAUCUUAUGUUGUUAUUUCAUAAGAGACUUGCCGCCUCCAAGGCGGAGGAAGGUGGGGAUGACGUCAGAUCAGCGUGUCCUUUAUGUCUGGGGGCAACACCCAUGUUACAAUGGGCCGAUACAGAGGGCAGCAAAGCCGCGAGGCGAAGCGAAUCCCAUCAAAGUCGGUCUCAGUUCGGAUUGUAGGCUGCAACUCGCCUGCAUGAAGUUGGAAUCGCUAGUAACCGUAGGUCAGCGAUACUACGGUGAAUAAGUUUCCUGGGUCUUGUACUCACCGCCCGUCAACUCAUGAAAGGCAGAAGCACCUGAAGCACCCUUACCUUUAUUGGGGGGUACCACGGUGAAGCUUGCUGAUUGGGAGU